rnacentral:rRNA from 1 species
AGUCGAGCGGUAGAGAGAAGCUUGCUUCUCUUGAGAGCGGCGGACGGGUGAGUAAUGCCUAGGAAUCUGCCUGGUAGUGGGGGAUAACGUUCGGAAACGGACGCUAAUACCGCAUACGUCCUACGGGAGAAAGCAGGGGACCUUCGGGCCUUGCGCUAUCAGAUGAGCCUAGGUCGGAUUAGCUAGUUGGUGAGGUAAUGGCUCACCAAGGCGACGAUCCGUAACUGGUCUGAGAGGAUGAUCAGUCACACUGGAACUGAGACACGGUCCAGACUCCUACGGGAGGCAGCAGUGGGGAAUAUUGGACAAUGGGCGAAAGCCUGAUCCAGCCAUGCCGCGUGUGUGAAGAAGGUCUUCGGAUUGUAAAGCACUUUAAGUUGGGAGGAAGGGUUGUAGAUUAAUACUCUGCAAUUUUGACGUUACCGACAGAAUAAGCACCGGCUAACUCUGUGCCAGCAGCCGCGGUAAUACAGAGGGUGCAAGCGUUAAUCGGAAUUACUGGGCGUAAAGCGCGCGUAGGUGGUUUGUUAAGUUGGAUGUGAAAUCCCCGGGCUCAACCUGGGAACUGCAUUCAAAACUGACUGACUAGAGUAUGGUAGAGGGUGGUGGAAUUUCCUGUGUAGCGGUGAAAUGCGUAGAUAUAGGAAGGAACACCAGUGGCGAAGGCGACCACCUGGACUAAUACUGACACUGAGGUGCGAAAGCGUGGGGAGCAAACAGGAUUAGAUACCCUGGUAGUCCACGCCGUAAACGAUGUCAACUAGCCGUUGGAAGCCUUGAGCUUUUAGUGGCGCAGCUAACGCAUUAAGUUGACCGCCUGGGGAGUACGGCCGCAAGGUUAAAACUCAAAUGAAUUGACGGGGGCCCGCACAAGCGGUGGAGCAUGUGGUUUAAUUCGAAGCAACGCGAAGAACCUUACCAGGCCUUGACAUCCAAUGAACUUUCUAGAGAUAGAUUGGUGCCUUCGGGAACAUUGAGACAGGUGCUGCAUGGCUGUCGUCAGCUC